rfam:Opitutaceae bacterium BACL24 MAG-120322-bin51 contig01981_1_120322-bin51, whole genome shotgun sequence.
CCGGUUGUUCCAUCAACCGUUCCCUACCCGGACAUGCUGAGCGGGCAACUGCUCGGUGUGAAGCUCCGGGGACAACGUACCCGCCGGAUUAGCCGGUACUCGGUCCCGCGAGGGGCGUGGAAACUGCCAGCACAGAGGCGGUGAGGGGC